AGAGAGAGAGAGAGAGAGAGAGAGAGAGAGAGAGAUUUUUCUCAAUGAUACUUUAUAGUUCGUGUGAGGUGAAGGGGAAUGGGCUAGGAAUUCCAUCUGUAUAAGGAAUUUCAAUUGUGGGUAAGUUACUUUCUUAAAAACUUUCAAACAGCCAAUUAUAUGGGUCGCAAACCAAA